rnacentral:rRNA from 1 species
AUUGAACGCUGGCGGCAGGCCUAACACAUGCAAGUCGAACGAGUGGCGGACGGGUGAGUAAUGUCUGGGAAACUGCCUGAUGGAGGGGGAUAACUACUGGAAACGGUAGCUAAUACCGCAUACCAUCGGAUGUGCCCAGAUGGGAUUGGCUCGUGGGUGGGGUAAAGGCUCACCUAGGCGACGAUCCCUAGCUGGGCUGAGAGGAGGACGAGCAACACUGGAACUGAGCCACGGUCAAGACUCCUACGGGAGGCAGCAGGGGGGAAUAUUGCACAAGGGGCGCAGGCCUGAUGCAGCCAUGCGGGGGGUAUGAAGAAGGCCUUCGGUUGGUAAAGUACUUUCAGCGGGGAGGCGUUACCCGCAGAAGAAGCACCGGCUAACUCCGUGCCAGCAGCCGCGGUAAUAC